GGCGCGCGCGCAGCCGCACAUUCCCCACCCCGCGACGCGGCGACCGGCAGAUUCGACACAGAACCCGCAGUCCUUCGGAGAAUCCAGACGGCUCGCUCCACCUAGGGCGCUUGGGAGGGCUGUGGGAUCGCAGGUAACACCCCGCCAACAGACUUGCACAAAGAUGAGCCAGGCCACCCCAGGGUGGACAUUCCCGGACGCAGCCCCAUCCGAGACCUGCAGACUGAGACGCACAAGGACCGUCAAAGCGUAGGCUUUGGGCACUGACACUCGGGCUCACCCACGGAAAUACACACUUCUGUUUGUGUUCGUGCGCCCCGGGGCCUUAAAGGCUCAUAUCCCAUCAACUCAGGGACGUAGCCUCAGUGUUGCUCAAGCUCUCAUGCUCCUCGUGUGAAGACACAAAAGAGGUUAAUGAUUUGCCCAUUAACACACCCAUGCCUUACGGACUUCAAGAAAAUAGCUGGGGAAAGGCGGAGGAGAGGUGAGGGUGUUUUUUGAAAAGGUGCAGGCAGCUACAGCAGAGGCUAAAGCAGAGAGGUGCCCUGAGAAGAUUCUAAAUAUAGGGGUGUUUGGGAUGAAAUUAACAUUUAAAUCUGGAUUACCCUCCAAAAUGUGGGUAGGCCUCACCCACUCAGUUGAAGAACUGAACAGAGCAAAAAGACCAGCCUCCCGGAGCAAGAAGGAAUUCACCAGCAGACUUUCCUUGGACUUCAUCUGCAUCAUCCACUCUCCUGGGGCUCAAGCCUUCUGGCCCACACCGAAGAUUUGGACUUGACAUCCUCCCUAACAGGGGAAGAAUCUGCGAGGCCAAGGAUGGAUUCAUCUAAAAUGCAAAAAUACAGUUGGGGAAAUUUUACCUGAGGCCCGAUGGGUGACUGAAACGUCCUUUGUCUGUAAGUAUCAAAAUCCAGGAAAAACUGU